UAUGACCCAUCAAUAGUUCAUCAUGCCU
rnacentral:sRNA from 1 species